rnacentral:ncRNA from 1 species
UACCUUUGUCUCAUCAUUGGUUCCCGAAAUGGUUUUUUAACCAUGGGAUGAAAAGGGAAUGCCGCGAAAUUCGGCAACAGUUCCCGCUGCUGUGAUCCUCAUCAAAGGACUGGCAACAUGCCACUUUUCUUAACUGAAGAAUGGGAAGGCGCCAGUAACCAGAGGAGAGUCAGAAGACCUGCCAGUGAUAUCAGAUUUCG